AUUGAAUGGCUCUUAUGUGCUAUCUACAUGAUAUAUCUUUUCUUAAAUGAUCCUAACAACUCUAGAAAAUAAGUAGUACUAACUUCAUAUUAAGUAUGACUUAAACAAGUCAUGCACUUUGCAAAUGAUAUGGCAGAUUUCUGCUUGACCACACAGUGAAUGCUUUGUCCAAACCACCUAUUUUGCUUUGAACUAUUCUAUUUUGGCCUGGGAAGGGGAAUUACUGCUGAUGUGAUUGGUUAAUGGUUAGUCCUAUUACACCAGGCUUGUAUCCAUUGCUACCUUUUUGUAUGUCUCUGAAUUAUCAAACGAACAGGAGCCUCCUGACUGAGACUAUGUACUAUUAAUGGAUCAUAUGUAUCCAGAUAUAUUUACAGAUAGAAUACAUUUCAGAAACAUAAAGGACAAUAAAAAAUGGCAGAAUUUACAAUCUUAACAACAUGGUUGCAGAAGCAGAACGGGAAAGUCAUGUAGGCAGUCAAGGUAAUACGCACAAUGUAAACAUGUCAUCUAGGACAUGAAGAAAACCUUUUGGGCCAAGUAGUACAGCAUGUUUAGUUAGAUCUAAACAAAUGUGCAUGACUAUAACCCCAAAUCUGUAAUUUCAUUUCUUUCCUUUUCCACAAUUAUCCAAUCUUCAGUUUUACCAGUAGUAUCAGAGACAUUUUCUGCUCUUAAACUCUAGCUAUCUGUGACACUUCCUUCUGGAAAGUGUCCAAAGCUUGAACCCUCCCUAGUUUCUCACACAUCUGUGCAUUAUUAGCCUGUUUCUGGUCAAAUCGUGUGGCAGAUGAACAACAGCCACAAAUUCUUUGACAUUCUUCCUAUAGGGAGGUAGGGCCUAUUUGCUAUCUCCUUGAAUCUGGGCUGCCAUUAAUCUCUUUCCACUAAUGGAGUGCAGUGUUAGGGAUUAUGACAGUUGUAGACCUUGUUUCUAUGAGAUUGACAGCUUCUACUUCAGUCUCCUAAAGCCCCCAGGGACAAAACAAGAAGUCAGAUCACACUGCUGGAGAGACCACAUGGAGAAUAUUGAGAAUAUGUGGAGAGAGACAGAAGAAUCUAGCUGAGCCCAGCCUUCCAAUUGUCCACAGCAAGACAUAAUGAAUGGAAGUAAAACCACCUUGGAUCAGGUGAAAACUAGUAGUGAAUUAGAACACAGACACUGGAGCCCAAUUGCCGGGGACCAGACUUCAGCUCUGCCAUUUACUGUGGGAUGACCUCGAGCAAAUUUUUUCACAUCUUAGUGUUGUUGGGGUUUUCUCAUCAGAAGUAUGAGGGUAUAAUAGUCUUCACCUUAUAGAAUUGUUGUGUGUAUAAGUUAAUAAAUAUCUAGAUAAAUACAUGUGUGUAUACAUGUACAUGUAUGUCUAUGUACACACAUACAUAUGUGUGUAUUAGAAUGAUAGCCC
rnacentral:lncRNA from 1 species